GGUGAAUCAUCUUCAGUCUUUGCUGGAUUGUUGAAUGAACCACAGCUAGUGAAGCUGGCUUGCUUGUCCUGUGGAGUUGUGGGCUGUUGCUUCCUCAAGGACUCACCUGCAAGCUGAGUGUUCUUUCUUUCCUGCACCUGCUUUAUCCAGUUGGCUCUGCAAUCUGCCUGAAGACUGAGUGUACCUGCGGAGACUAAUGUUACCCUGACGAGUUUAAUGUCUUGGCCAAACAGCCACACUCUCCUGCGCGCACAAGACCUGAGCCUGCUCCAGUUCUUUCAUGACCUCAUCAAAUCCUGCCUACCAAAGGCUUCACUCUUCCUUGGCCACUGCUGAUCUUUCUUUUCCAUUGGAAACUCCACCCCACUCUUGUAGGGGGCGGGGCCAGCCUGCCUUCUAGCUUUAUUUGUGCUUUGACCUUUUAUUUUUUCUAUCCCCCAUUUAUAUUUUUUUUUUUCUUCCACCUGUGGGGUCUGGUAUUGUCACAAAGUAAAACCUAAUGAAAUAAAAAGAAAUUGGCUAUAAGAGCAGCUGGAGCAGGGUUUUCUUUUUUUUAAGACCCUGGUUCUACUAGCUAGAGCUGCUGUGUUCAUGUGCACAAUUGGUGCAUGUACAAGUUUAUCAAAUCACCACCAGAGUUUAAAUUUAAAGCAUAACUAAAGAUGUGUGUAUUUGUAAUGACCAGUUACCUGCUGAUCCCUGCUGCACUUACGCCUCUCUUGAAUAUCCUUCUAUUAUGUUUGCUGCACUCUUCUACUGCGCCCCAGAAAGCUUUCUUACAUGGAUCAAAUGGAAAAAGAAGCUAUGCGUAGACUGAAACAGCA